CAUUCAUCUCCACCACGUGAAGAACGAACAGCAGAGACUCAAGUGACCCCCCCCACCGCCACCAUCAACCUCCACACACAUCCAGCGCAUCGCAGACAUUCCUCUUCGCCACGUGCAGAACGAACAACAGAGACUCACGUGACCCCCCCCACCGCCUCCAUCAACCUCCACACACAUGCAGCGCACAUCCCACGUCGGAGAAUGAGGAGGCUUACCGCAGCCUUCGUUCGGAGAGCCGUGAGGCGCUGCAAGGAUGAUGGGUGGUGGUCGCGGGUUGCUCAGGAGAUGGAGUCUGCCUCUUUAAUCCCAUCAAAAAAGUAACCUGCAGUGCCACACCUAUUACCAUCAUUAGGGGAAAGAACGGUGAUCCAAUCUCUGACCCCCAGGGACAGGUUUGCAGAUUUGCUGAGCAUUUCUGUGAGGUCCUAGGGGAGGGGAAAUCCCUCAGCCAGGAAAACAACGUGGGACAAAGUGGGGAUGGCCCUGCUGAGGCUGCGGUGCCUCAAGCAUUGGAGGAGGGAGUCAUCCCCUGCGAGUGGCUGGCUGAGGUGCCAUCUGUUGAGGAAGUACUGAGGGCGAUCCAGAGUCUGAGACCAGGAAAGGCACCGGGCACAGAUGAUCUCCCAAGCGAAAUGCUGAGGGAGGGUGGCGUUUGUGCACAGACUGCCCUACACGACAUCAUAACAACAGUCUGGACCACUGGACGGGUUCCGCAGGAUUGGAAGGAUGCCCUGGUUGUCCCCCUCUUUAAGAAGGGAGACCGCACAGACUGUAACAACUACAGGGGCAUCUCACUCCUCAGUUUGCCGGGAAUGGUCCUGGCAAGGAUUGUUCAACAUCGCCUGGAGGCCCAGUCGAUUCCGAGAAUCAACACCGAAUCUCAUCGUUCUGCAGAUCGAUUCCUACGUAAUCGAACGUCUGUCCGUGCGCCUCCGUCGUUCAAACCCAGGCGCCCCCUGCGUGAAGACGACGGGAAAUGUAGCGUUCAUCACAGAGGAAGCGAGGCGUUUAUAUGUUGAGAAGAUGCAAAUCUAUCGUGGGACCGGCUGUGUGACCGCGCCUGAGAAUAAUGAGAACGCCGUUCCCAGCUCUCGGCCGCCGCCUUUGUCUCUCCCAGUCGCAGACGUGAAUCUUCACCACGUGCAGAACGAACAGCAGAGACUCACGUGACCCCCCCCCACCGCCUCCAUCAACCUCCACACACAUCCAGCGCAGUGAGAGGCCGCCCCGGUUUUUCGAUCCCACAAUGCACUGGGGCUGAAAAAACUAAACUAUAAUCCGAACAAACAUAUGCUCAAUAAGCACAUUUUAGACGCGCAAACUGUGAUGAUCUUUAAAAAACAAUAACUACAAUAUAAUAGUUUACAAUGUGUAUGAGCUCGAUUAUUAGUAAUUUAUUUAAAAUAACACACAUUUUUGUGGGGCCCAUAGCGUAAAGCGCAUACAGGCCGCGGUACUAUAAAUACACGUCGCGACACUAGUGUGUUCUGUACUUGCUCCGGCAGUACAUAUACUAAAAUUGGAACGAUACAGAGAAGAUUAGCAUGGCCCCUGCGCAAGGAUGACACGCAAAUUCGUGAAGCGUUCCAUAUUUUGCAUCUUUUAAUAAAUAAAUUAUGCUCUGCCAUACUUGCUAGGGCACAUGCCAAUUCGUUCCUAAUACUAAUACAGCAGCACACCGGUGUGUCUUUUUGGAUCAAGUCUCAAGAUCUUUGACGUCCGCUUUGAAGCAGAAUGUGCGUGUUUGUGGUUAAUAUUUCCAGAGUAUUAUUAACCAGGGUGGCUGCUGGGCUUAAACUACGAACCUCUGCAAAACAUGAAUUGAUAUAUCUUGAAUGGCGGUGAUACGCUACUUUGUGAGGAGUUUAAUAAUAACAAUGGGAACGUUCAUUCACUUAUUCGUCAAUUAAUAUCAAUCCUAAAGCGGACAAAACAGUGUACAGUAUCAAAUUGCACGUGCACUAAUUGUCAUUUACCGAGCCCCGUUUAUGCUUUUGUAUUUUACCCCAAGUGUUCCAGUGCGUCGUGUCGUGAGAUGAAGAAUUCAUUCAGAAAUAUUGCGGGGUGGCUAUGCAAAAAAACGACCGACAGAAGUGGAUAACACCGAGCUACUUCUGAGAUAUUUUCAAGUGAAAGAUGUGAUUAACCAUGCAAAAAAGAUUUAACUACACUUAUUUGGCCAAUCUUAUUUGACAGACAACUAUUACAGGUUAUUGAUAGACAGCCAGGCUUGUUUUACCAUGUUUAGUCACAAACCGUACCUCUCCAUAACAAAGGCUCACCCUCUUAAGCCUCACCUUACCAUAUGAAUAAAAAGUGUGCCGUUCUUGGCCCUUCCCCCCUCUCCAACCAUUAUAUAUACGGAGUGGUAGCUUUUGCAAUCUCUCAUUUACUUGAUACAGCUGUCGUGGCUGUGACGGUUCCACCUGAAGACGGAAGCUUGUGUUGCCUCCGAAACGUCGUGAUUUUGAUAUUUUUUACUUUUAUUAAUUGAAAUGUUUUACCUACGUGACUUUACCGAAAAAACCUAAGAAUAUGUGUAUUCUCAGAGCUGGAAUUUUGCCAACUUAAGUGCAAGACCAAUUUUGCCACGAUGGCUUUUUGGUUCAGUCAUUCGUGGCUGGGCUGAGUCCAUCGUCUCACUACACUUGAGAAAUUCACAUUUAAACCCAGGAUCUUAGAAGUGGCGACUCGGCACUCUGACCCAUGAGCCACGCGGCCACCGCUUAAGCACCCUGUUGUUUAGCAGAACUCUUUCCCAGCCAAAGCACUACAAGGUUCACGCCAAUUAACCAGUAAAGCCUUAUUAGAGCAUUUAUUUAUAAUUAUGAACGUUAUUGUAAUCGUAAUAGCUUUAUCAAGACAAGGGUAUGAAGAGCGUGAAACCAUAAUGGCGUUGGCUGUGUACCAAAGAUGACCAUGAUGAACCCCAUGAAGAGACACUCAGACCAAGAGUUGUAAUUUAGGAACUCAGCGCUGCUAUGUACCUCAAUUUCUCAGACAUGGUCAUUAUGAUUCCCCAGACAUCCAGGUCCAGCUUGAACUCAAGCCAUCUACAAUGCUGGUUUCAGUGUAUGUGACAGGGCCAAUCUCAUGAAAUUAUAGCUUUUGAUAAGCAAAUUACAUAAUUAUGUUUUUUUACAUCUGCGUGCCAACAUUUCACAAGGAAUUCACCGAGUGAAUGAUUGCAUAACAGGAAAAAAAAACACCCACGUGUUUUUAUGUUUAGUUUUAUUGUUUUAAAGAAAUGAGUUCUAAAUCCUUGCUGCAAUAUCAGGUGUCGGAGACAAUGAGCCAUCGGUAAGUCCUGGCUAAAGCCCCAUGAUCUACGAUUUCUCUCUCUUUCACUGGGUUUAUAAUGGCCAUGUCAGGUUGAUAAUGGAAAAGUCACAAUGAACGAGCACUACCGAGACCCUGGCAUUGCGCAGAGGGUCUACGCGUCUCUAUGUCAUGUACACGUACGGGCGUUUUGUUAAUCCACUGCUGGAUUAUGGCCUCUCCGUGCGUUGGUUAGUGUGGGUUGGAGGUGGCAAACAUUUUUCUUUUGUAUGGCAGUGUGUAUAUAGAUGACAUAGUUGAAUGUGAAUGUCCUUCAACCAAUCCAAGGCGGCAGUAGAUGCUGCGAUACCGCCAGGGUGUGCAUGGAUGGCGCACUCGUCGGUGAUGUGUUUGAUGGUUUGGGCUUUACCACAGUCGCAGAUUGGUGAGUCUUUGAUUUCUCAUUCAUGGAACGUGUACGCACAUCUCCCGUCCUGCGUCAGUGUGGUCCACAGACGCCGUGAGAGAAAGAAUCGCGGCACUUACACGGUCGGGUCCUCAAUGAUGUUUUUUGUUUGCCACGUUCGAAGCCGCACACCCUUCAGACCAUCGAGUGCCGGUGUAUAAAAGUACAUUACCCUCAACGUCGCCUAUGUUUCUAUGUUAGGGGCUUCAUCGUGACGGUGCCAGAGCCAUUGCGAUUCUGGGUUUCAGCACCAAUAACCCCACAAAACCAGAACAUUGAUUAACUUCCCGCUUAAUUUGGUCACACUGCAGGCAUAAUGUAACAACCAUAAUAUCGGGUUUGUUUGUGGGUUAUAUCGCAUAAAUAUAAAUCUGUCGUUAAACCCAUCACCACCCGACACAGCCAAUAAGUAAGGUUUGUCGCACAAACAGAACAUGCCAAUUCGUUCCUAGUACAACACAUCGGUGUGUUGGAGAGCAAAUACACAACAUUCACAAUCUGAGUACGACGUUUCGCCAGUAAUUGCAACUGGCAUCACCAGGUGGCAGGCAGAUUUGUGAAUGUAAAUAAAAUCGGACGACUGACA